rnacentral:rRNA from 1 species
UAGAGAGACCCUACGGGAGGCUGCAGUGGGGAAUUUUGGACAAUGGGCGAAAGCCUGAUCCAGCCAUUCCGCGUGAAUGAUGAAGGCCUUCGGGUUGUAAAGUUCUUUCGGACGGGACGAAAUCGUUCAAGCUAAUACAUGGGUGGAUGACGGUACCGUAAGAAGAAGCACCGGCUAACUACGUGCCAGCAGCCGCGGUAAUACGUAGGGUGCGAGCGUUAAUCGGAAUUACUGGGCGUAAAGCGUGCGCAGGCGGUUAUGUAAGACAGAUGUGAAAUCCCCGGGCUCAACCUGGGAACUGCAUUUGUGACUGCAUGGCUAGAGUACGGUAGAGGGGGAUGGAAUUCCGCGUGUAGCAGUGAAAUGCGUAGAUAUGCGGAGGAACACCGAUGGCGAAGGCAAUCCCCUGGACCUGUACUGACGCUCAUGCACGAAAGCGUGGGGAGCAAACAGGAUUAGAUACCCUGGUAGUCCACGCCCUAAACGAUGUCAACUGGUUGUUGGGUCUUCACUGACUCAGUAACGAAGCUAACGCGUGAAGUUGACCGCCUGGGGAGUACGGCCGCAAGGUUGAAACUUAAAGGAAUUGGCGGGG